rnacentral:lncRNA from 1 species
AUGAAAAUAAAGUGUCUGCAAGAGGAGUUAAAGAAGGUGAAGGACCUGGAUUUUAAGAAAUCAGUGAUAAUUUACAAAAAAACAACAUCAAUUUCAAAUCUGUUGUCGGAGAGACAGAAGUUCCACCAUGAGAAAAAGGAGCUCGUACGAGUCAGUCUCCAGUUGCAAGGAGAGAAACAGCAACUCAGCGAACAAUUUGAGGAAGAACUGAGCAGGUGAGAAACGUUCAGAUAGCAGCCUUGACUUUCCCCUCCAGAAUUUCAAAUUAAAUUCUCUUUAGCUCCCUCCCGUAGACACAUGUCAUAAAAUGUACAGGUAGUCCUCGACUUGCAACAGUUCAUUUAGUGACCAUUCAGUUACAAAGGCACUUUAAAAAAAGUGACUAUUAUAGUUUUUCACAUGACUAUUAAUGUGAAAGUGUGAAAAAGUGUGGUUGCGUGAUUAAAAUUCAGGUGCUUGGCAACUGACUCAUAUUUUUUGACGGUUGCAGUGUCCUGGCCUUGCUUGUAUGACCUUCUGGCAAGAAAAGUCAAUGGGGAAGCCAGAUUCACUUAACAACCGGGUCAAUAACUUAUCAAUUGCAGCGAUUCACUUAAGUGAAGCAGAAAAGGGUCACAAAAUGGGGCAAAAUACAUAAAUGUCUCACUAAACAGAAAUUUUUGGGCUCAAUGGUGGUCAUAAGUGGAGAACUACCUGUAAAUCACUACAUUUAUUAUGUGAGUCUGGCAGUCACUAAAUGAAUCUUGCUUCUCCCAUUGACUUUGCUUGUCAGAAGGUCGCAAUGGGCAAUCACAAGACCCAGAUACCGUAACCCUUUAUAAAUACCUGUUUUUAAAACCAUAGUUAUUAAUUUAACAACUGCAGUGAUUCACUUAUCAGCAAGAAAGUUCAAAAAGGGGGGGGGGGGACUCACUUAACAAAUGUCUCACUUGGCAACAGAAAUGUUGGGCUCAAUUAUGGUCAUAAGUUGAGAACUACCUGUACCAUAGUUUGCUUUAUGGCAGUCAUUUAUAGCCUGAUAUCUAGAUUAAACGCCAAGCCAAACUGUAUGACAGACUAUCAGGAGAUGAUUUUAAUGUCUCAAAUAAUUCCUACUGAAAUAAAUUAGAUUUUAAAAAAAAUUCA